rnacentral:tRNA from 1 species
GGGCCGGUAGCUCAGCGGUUAGAGCCGCGGACUCAUAAUCCGUCAGACGGAGGUUCGAAUCCUCCCCGGCCCA